rnacentral:lncRNA from 1 species
GAAAAGUGUCAAUCUAGGAGCAAACUAGAGAGACACAACUAAACAAGACUCAAUCCGAUGAGGAUAUAACUCAGGGGAGUAAUUCCAUCCCUAUAUAUAAUUGGGGAGGAAACUGAAACAAUAAUCAUCCACGAGGACAUAACUCAGUGGGGAAUAUGGAAAGAAAGAUAGACACUUUCUGCCUAUGAGGCUGACUCUAUAUGGAGAGAUCAGACACAAACAUCUUCUUGGGGAAGAAUAUUUCACCAAUAGCAGGAGAUAAC